GACGGGGCCCGCACAAGCGGUGGAGCAUGUGGUUUAAUUCGAUGAUACGCGAGGAACCUUACCUGGGCUCGAACGUAAGAUGACUGUAGGUGAAAGCUUACAUCUCUUCGGAGCAUUUUGCGAGGUGCUGCAUGGUUGUCGUCAGCUCGUGCCGUGAGGUGUCGGGUUAAGUCCCAUAACGAGCGCAACCCUACCUUUAGUUGCCAUCAGGUAAUGCUGGGGACUCUAAAGGAACUGCCUACGCAAGUAGUGAGGAAGGCGGGGAUGACGUCAAAUCAGCACGGCCCUUACGUCCAGGGCUACACACGUGCUACAAUGGCCGAUACAGAGGGCAGCUACCUGGUGACAGGAUGCAAAUCUCCAAAGUCGGUCUCAGUUCGGAUUGAGGGCUGCAACUCGCCCUCAUGAAGCUGGAAUCCGUAGUAAUCGCGUUUCAACAGAACGCGGUGAAUACGUCCCUGCUCCUU
rnacentral:rRNA from 1 species